AUAUCCCUCUGAGAACUCAAGGCUAUGGGAUCUCCUAUAUCCCUAUGCCGUUAGGGCUUAGGUGGGUGCGGCGGUAUCGUUUACUAAUUGGAGUCUGACUGGGUGCUUCAAUUGAGGUGCGGCGAAAAUCCAGCACAGAUUCAAGGGGCGAGUUGCGUCCGCGUGGUAGGUCCGCCUUCCACGUGGGGCGUGGGUCCUACGCAGCGGCCUGGAAACCCUAGGAUGCCGUGCCAUAAAGGAGCAGGUAGUGCGUCCCUCUUUAUAGGGGCGUGGCCCUGUAUUCACAGCCGGCAAACGCUGCUACUUCCUAUCAGACCGCAUGAACCCGUAAGGGGGAUGGACUUAGGGGGGCACGCAUAUAGGUUAGGGUGCUUUCCUGGUCCUUCGGGGCUGGGCGGGCGGACCGGACAGUCGAUAACUGUGUCUGGCCCUCCGGGGCCUACCUUUUAUCCAGCAAUGGGCCUGACGAUACUGAAAGCGUGUUGGGGCUGGUAUCCUGGGACCUUCUCGUGGUGGCCCUGUUUGAACUGACCUUACCAGGAUAUUUGACCUGCUCUCAGAAAUUCAGUCUAGUUUUCGAAGUGUCACACAUUUGUUUGUUUUGGGGUUUUUUGGUCAAAUCAACCAUGCAUCAAUGAAAUCUUUGCAUCACUCUGUUCAUUUGAUAAAUUUCUACAAUUUUGGACCACAGUGAAAUCUUAUACUUUGCCUUGAGGGAAAAAUUAAAACCCUGACUUCCUCUUCAUCAUUUUUUUCCAUUCAGGUUCAAAACAUGCCUAAAAACCGUUUUCCCAAAAAAAUGGAAUAAAAGUUUUUUUUUUUUAGACAUCUGACUCUUUUUCUCAGAGCAGGUCACAUCAAUUUGGUUGAUGUAUUUCUUUGAGAUGUUCACAGACAAAGGACUAAUCUUUAUUUGUCUUUGCCAUUUGUUGCAGAUAAUUUAUCUGGUCACCUUACGCUGGCAACACACUGACAUACGUCCAUCAAACGGUCUUUGCAGAAUCCUACUGCAGUGAUGUGACAUUUAAUCAAAGCUGAAGACUCAUGGUCCAUGCAUCGGCCUUGUGACGGCAGCUAUGUGUGGCUGAAAUGCACUGUGCAAGAUGAUGUGUGAGUUUCUGCUUACUGAUGACUUGUUGCCAUAGCUACAACAAUUAAGUCUUUAAAAAAUCCAGUCAGUAAUUUCAUGGACAUGUAUGUAUGUUGUAAUCUCAAUUUCAUCUUUUAAUGCAUAUUCAGUUUAUUUUUGUCUUAUAUCGACAUUUAAACUUAUUCCUUACAAUUUCUUUCCCCCUCCCCCCCCCCCCCCAAAAAAAAACCCCAGUGUUGUGAUUGUGACGGUUGCAUCGUUAAGUACAUUUAUUCUAACCAAGUUAUUCUCACUUAAUUGCCUUGUUUGCCAAUUUUAUAACUUUACAGACUUUCAGACCAGUUGCUGUUAUUUAAUGUUUUAAUUGAUGACUUACCAAACUUUCAAGCAUUUAAGCAAAGCUGAAAUUUGAAUUAGCCAAGCUUCCCUAAUUUUACAGCCAUUGUACAUGUAUUUACAAACUGUUAACUUUUUUUUUUGGCAUGAGAAAAUUUUUAGUGAAGACUAUUACUUUUAUUAGCGAUAUAAGUAAAUAUUGCAAACACUGUAUUUUCUUCCGUUUAUCAGUUUUGCUCUCUUGAUGGUCAGAAGUUUAAUGUUAAUUUAGGGAAGUUUGAUAACGUCUCGGUUUAACAUUUGUUCUGAAAUUCAAAUAAAUGAGUUUGACGGCA